AUUGAACGCUGGCGGCAUGCCUUACACAUGCAAGUCGUACGGUAACAGGUCUUCGGAUGCUGACGAGUGGCGAACGGGUGAGUAAUACAUCGGAACGUGCCUAGUAGUGGGGGAUAACUACUCGAAAGAGUGGCUAAUACCGCAUGAGAUCUACGGAUGAAAGCGGGGGAUCGCAAGACCUUGUGCUACUAGAGCGGCCGAUGGCAGAUUAGGUAGUUGGUGGGAUAAAAGCUUACCAAGCCGACGAACUGUAGCUGGUCUGAGAGGACGAUCAGCCACACUGGGACUGAGACACGGCCCAGACUCCUACGGGAGGCAGCAGUGGGGAAUUUUGGACAAUGGGCGCAAGCCUGAUCCAGCAAUGCCGCGUGCAGGAUGAAGGCCUUCGGGUUGUAAACUGCUUUUGUACGGAACGAAAAGCCCCGGGUUAAUACCCUGGGGUCAUGACGGUACCGUAAGAAUAAGCACCGGCUAACUACGUGCCAGCAGCCGCCGUAA
rnacentral:rRNA from 1 species